UCUAGCGCCGCCAAACUAAACAUUGAAAAGAUGUUUGUUGUAAGAAAAGAUGUUUGUUGUAUUCAACAAACAUCUUUUCAAUGUUUAGUUUGGCGGCGCUAGA
rnacentral:pre_miRNA from 1 species